CAGGUCCAUUCUGUAGUUGUUCUGUAGCUCUGCUUGAGUUCGAAUUCUUCUUUGCUCCUCCAUCACAGCUCUCGCUGCCGCCUCGUCCAGAUUCUGAUGAACAAACAGAAAAGCCAGUGGACAUGGUAAAGAAAGAGAGGAAGAAAAAACAGAACAGCUGGAGAGACACGGUAUGCUCAAUCAUCUUCUUUUCCACUUCACAUACCAGUGAUAUUCAAACUGACAGGAAAAAUAAGCAGAUUUCUAGCUAUGAUAAAUAAAAACAAAAAACAUCAGUAUUACGUCAGGGAUGUAAUAUGGUUGCCAAAUCAUUGUGACAAAUUUCCCACAGAUGAACUGCAUUCAGUAAAGAUAGCUGCUGUUGUCACAACGUAAAAGCCACUGAGUUGAAAAAAACAAAAACAAAACACUGUAUAGAAUAUUUAGCGUUUUGGUUUUAGCCUGAUUUUAGAGCUAAUUUUAUUGACCACUGGGCUGUUUUUUGCACACACAGCUGGCACGGAUUGAAGAAAAACUUAUAUUUCCUUAUAUUUACUUAUAUUUCCAUGAUUUUCACUUUCCCAGCAGAGUAUAUACAUUUGGGCUUCUACAGUCUCAUAUGAGAAGUUGACAAAGCCAAACAGGCCAUGUUUCCAUUUGUAUUUGUGGUCGUGUCACAAACCCACAAAGGAUAAACUGCAAGCAACGCAAGUGUCAUGUAGCCUGCUAGUGUGAAUGAAGGGCAAGUCUGAACCCAUGACGGCUUGUAAGAGUUUAAAUGGGUAAUGUUUAAAUCAAUAGAACAGGCGUACACGCUGUUUUUUUUUUUUUUUUAAUUUUGUAGAGAGCUGUGGUCAAAAUUUCUGCAAACCAUGGUACGUGUGAAAUUUGGCUAUAAACAAUGGUUUUGUUAGUUGGGAAGAAAUUUCUAGUUAAAUUUCUACUUAAAAAGUAAAAAUCUGAUUCACCAACAAAAGCACCAAAGCACCAACAAAAACGACCAAGACAAUAAAAUGAUAUUUACUUAGAAUUUGUAUUUAGAUACGUUCCUGUCAAUGAGCACGUGUGAUUUGGGCUGUCGUGUGCUUAUAUUUUGUAUAUGUUACAGGAAAGGGGAAUCUUUUUAGAGGGUUGUAAGGAGUUGGAUUGUGAUUGAUGUUAUGACUGGACUGUAGUACCUUCCUCAUGGCUUCCAGCUCUCUUUGUUUCUUCUCGUUGGCCAACUGCAGCUCCUUCAUCUGUCCCUCCAUCCGCACUUGUUCUGCCUGCAGGCGGUUGCGCAGCUCUCGUCUUCGCUGUCGAGCCUCACGGUGGGGCGCAGACAGACCCUGCCUCAGCCGGUUAAUGCAGUCCUGAAUGGCUGACACACACACACACACACACACAUAUAUAUUAUUUUUUUGGCAUGUGAUCAAAAAUUGUCUGAGAUCAGGAGUGAGAAAAAAAAUAAAGAAAAAUCUGAAAAAAAUCUGAGGUAUCUUAAAAGUGGAAGUAGAGAGUAAUUGGAAGCAUGCCCAAUCUAUGGUUUACUCAAGUAUUUAAAAGUUAGAAUGUUUUCUUUUUCAGUGUGGACACACUCAGAAAUCAGCAAUAAUUUGGACAACAGAAUUCAUAUAUAAAUUUAUGAAGUUUAGGUUAAGGUUUGGCUAGGGUCAGGGGUGGAGUUAGGGGCGGGGUUAGCAUUCAUACCGUUCCUUACAAGGAAUGCACAAUUCAUGGUCAGCCUGCACCUAUUUAACAUGCUGUAAUGUCACCAGGACAGAGCCACAUCUCUUGUAUGUGCGUACAUAUGAGAUACACUAUAUAGCCAAAAGUUUGUGGACACCAGACUAUCACACCCAUACAUGAUUGUUGAACAUCCCAUUCCAGAUUCUGUUACAAUAACCUCCACUCUUCUAAGAAGGAUUUUGGAGCACAGCUGUGGGGAUUUGUGCUCAUUCAGCCCCAAGUGCAAGAGUGAGGUAAGACACUGAUGUUGGGUGAGGAGGUCUGGGGUGCAGUUGUCGUUCCAGUUCAUCCCAAAGGUGUUGAGUGGGGUUGAGGUCAGGGCUCUGUGCAGGACACUUGAGUUCUUCCCCUCAAACUUUAGCAAACCAUGUCUUCAUGGAGCUUGCAUUGUCAUGCUGGAACAGGUUUUGGCCUCUUAGUUCCAGUCAAGAGAAACUGUAAUGCUACAGCAUACAUUCUAUACAGUUGUGUGUUUCCAACAGUUUGGCAACAGUUUGGGGAAGAAUCACAUAUAGGAGUGACGUCCACAUACUUUUGGCCAUAUAGUAUAGCUGUGUAGAAAGCUAGCAAAAUGGACAAUAAAUGGUGAAAAUGGAUAAUAAGGGAGAGCCUAUUUUACAAAAGAAGAAAUAUCCGCACUUUUCUGUUUUCCCACAGGAACAAUUAAAUUAGUAGCUGCACAAAAAAAAGAAAUAUCUUGUUCAUUAUCUUUUGUGAUUUGUAAAUUAUAAUGUAAGAAACAGAAAGUAGAAAAUAUAAGAAGCAUAAAGUUUAUUCAGGGAAAAGGGAAUGUGACAUAGUUUGAAGUACUGAAUUGAUGAAGUACUUUCCACUGGGACACUAUAAAGUUUCCUUACCCUGAAUCCAUUCUUGCCGUUUCUUUUUGUCCGAGGCACUGAUCUCGAGGCUUUUGUCUUGACAUUUGAUGAUAAAGAGGUUUCUCUUUCCUUCUCUGUCUGGUAAAGACUGAAAAAAACAAAAACACUUGAGCGUGACUUGCUCAGCAUCAUAUUUUAAACACAGGCCUUGUUGAGUUCUCACCUCCACGCAGCAGUGACGGUCCAGUGAAAUGGAGCCCUUCUUCUCACUGAGGUCCUCCGUCACAUAGUACGAGAUUGAAUCGAGACGCAGCUCGAAC